GAAGCUAGUAACAAGAAGACGUAGAGAAGCUAGCAACAAGAAGCAAACGUAGAGAAGCUAGUAACAAGAAGACGUAGAGAAGCUAGCAAAAAGAAGCCGACGUAGAGAAGCUAGCAACAAGAAGACGUAGAGAAGCUAGCAACAAGAAGACGAAGAGAAGCUAGCAACAAGAAGCAAACGUAGAGAAGCUAGCACCAAGAAGCCGACGUAGAGAAGCUAGUAACAAGAAGACGUAGAGAAGCUAGCACCAAGAAGCCGACGUAGAGAAGCUAGCAAAAAGAAGCCGACGUAGAGAAGCUAGCAAAAAGAAGCCGACGUAGAGAAGCUAGCAACAAGAAGACGUAGAGAAGCUAG